rnacentral:piRNA from 1 species
CUGAGUCACAAUUUGAAGGUAAAGG